AAGUAUAAAAAUCCUACAUUGAGUGUAAAUGUUCAUGAAGCAAAAAAUCCCGAUUUUUUUUUGAUAAUAAUAAUUUAUCUCGAUAGUGGCGUUGUAAGUACUA